CAGCAACUGCUACUUCCCCUUCCCCUGUCCCCUUCCCUGGGUGCCUCCUCAAGUACCAGUUUUGAAGAGAGAAGCCUCUUUGGAGGAAGACUCGUAACUAAAUUAAGGGAGGGACUGGGUUCUAGGAAGUUGAAAGAGAACUGUCUCUAAAUGCCAAUUUAUCAAGGAAAAUGAAAGCACGUGAAGUUGGGACUGAAGGAAACUUUAACUCACGUUCCAGAAGC
rfam:Choloepus hoffmanni cont1.825247, whole genome shotgun sequence.